rnacentral:rRNA from 1 species
CACGUAGGGCGCAAGCGUUGUCCGGAAUUAUUGGGCGUAAAGGGCGCGUAGGCGGUGCCACAAGUCACUUGUGAAAUCCCCAGGCUUAACCUGGGGCCUGCAGGCGAAACUGUGGUGCUGGAGUGUGGGAGAGGUGCGUGGAAUUCCCGGUGUAGCGGUGAAAUGCGCAGAUAUCGGGAAGAACACCCGUGGCGAAGGCGGCUCUCUGGGACGGUACUGACGCUGAGACGCGAAAGCGUGGGGAGCAAACAGG